rnacentral:rRNA from 1 species
AUGGCACCAACUAUGCUGAGUUCGCCGGUUUCAUGCGUAUCCAUAUGUGCGGUCUUCUGCUGUGGGGAGUUCUCUCUGGCGAGGUCCCCUGUCCGCCAUGCCCGGUUGCUCCCCUGGCUCCUACCCCGCCGACACCGCCAGUUCUUGCUGCUAAUGCUUCUCAGGCUGAUCGGGAUGCAGCCAAGGCGCUUGAUGAUGCUGUGGUUGAUGCUUAUGAUCAGCAGGUAUCUGCUUAUUCGGAUGCUCUCUCCGUCUACUGCGAUGAUCUUUCUGCUUACACUCAGUGGUGCAAUGAUGAUGCUCGGGCAGCUGCCGUUCUUACUGCGAUUGUCCUUCCUCAGUUUGCUUCGGAGUUCAUGGUCCUCGGCACCGUUGCAGCGAUGUGGUCUUAUUUGUGUCAGCGAUACCAGCCCUCUGGUGAUGCUCUCUACUUAUCUGUGGUUCGUCAGGAGCAUGCUCUCCAGUAGGGUGACUCUUCUGUUGCUGAGUUCUACUCACAGAGUUCUGCCAUCUGGCGUCAGCUUGACUCUCUUCGGACAGCUGUGUGUGGAACUUACCGUUGCUGCCAGACUACUCGAUCUGACUUGGAGUUCUAGAAGUGGGACCGCAAGCCCGAGCCCCUGUGUCGUCUGCUCGUCUCACUUCUCCACCGGUCAUGCCCACACCUUCAGGGGGGUGGGUCGCCCUCCUUAUGUUGACAAGGGUCGGUCUCGCCGUGACACCUUCUGUGACUACUGCUCCAGGCCUGGUCACCCAGAGUUUGAUUGUCACCAGAAGCAGCGCAACCAGAGGCACUCCUCUUCCAGUGGGACUCCUGUGUCGUCAUCGACUCCGUCACUCACUGACCAGGACAUUGUGCGGCUCAAACGCCUUCUGGCUUCCUCUGGUUCCUCAUCGACGGGUUCUGCUGCUGCUGUGACUGCUUUCACCACUUCAUCACCGCCGGCAUCUACACCGUCAGGUACAUCUUCGUGGGUUCUGGACUCUGGAGCUUCCUUUCAUAUGUCUUCUGAUUCUUCAGCUUUGUCUUCUCUUCGCCCUCUUGAUUCUCCUAUUAAUGUUCUUAUUGCCGAUGGCACAUCUCUUCCUGUUGCUAGUCGUGGCUUUCUUUCCACUCUGUCCUUUUCUGUUCCUAGUGUUUCACAUGUUCCUCGCCUUACCAUGAAUCUUUUUUCUGCUGCCCAACUUACUGAUUCUGGUUGUCGUGUCAUUCUUGAUACCGAUUCUUGCUCCAUUCAGGAUCGUCGCACCAAGACUUUGGUUGGUGCUGGCCCCCGGCACCGUGAGUCAGAGGGCCUUUGGGAGGUUGACUGGCUUUGUGUUCCUUCCACUGCCACCACUUCUGCCAGCUCUCAUGCCCUUGCUGCCUCCUCGUCCGCGUCCUUCCAGCAGUGGCAUCAUCGCCUUGGUCACAUCUGUGGCUCUCGCUUGUUGUCAUUAGUGCGUCAGGGCCUCUUAGGGUCUCUAUCUGGAGAUGUUUCUUUACCUUGUAAUGGUUGUAGACUUGGCAAACAGACUCAACUACCUUAUCCUACCAGUGAGUCAGUAUCUCAGCGUCCUUUUGACUUAGUUCAUUCUGAUGUCUGGGGUCCUGCUCCCUUUGAUUCGAAAGGUGAUCAUCGCUACUAUGUUUUGUUUAUUGAUGAUUUCUCUCGCUACACUUGGCUCUACUUCAUGAAAUCUCGUAGAGGUUCUCUCUAUAUACAAACAAUUUGCUGCCAUGGUUCACACCCAGUUUUCCACGCCUAUUCGUACUUUUCGUGCUGA